UGAGGAAUAUUGGGCAAUGGGCGGAAGCCUGACCCAGCAACGCCGCGUGAAGGAAGACGGCAUUCGGGUUGUAAACUUCUUUUUUGGGGGAAGAGAGAGGACGGUACCCCAAGAAUAAGUAACGGCUAACUACGUGCCAGCAGCCGCGGUAAUACGUAGGUGACAAGCGUUAUCCGGAAUUACUGGGCGUAAAGCGCACGCAGGCGGUGCGUUAAGUCUGACGUGAAAUUUCCCGGCUUAACUGGGAGGGGUCGUUGGAGACUGGCGUGCUUGAGGCGAUGAGAGGGGGGUAGAAUUCCCGGUGUAGUGGUGGAAUGCGUAGAUGUCGGGAGGAAUACCAGUGGCGGAAGCGACACCCUGGCAUUAGCCUGACGCUCAGGUGCGAAGGCGUGGGGAGCGAACG
rnacentral:rRNA from 1 species